CCAGCGAACUACCUAGGAGUCUCUGGACUGAAGUAUCGCUCCCUAACUCCUGUUGCGGUGCGUAAGGUGUGUCCUGACAUGUGCACAAAAAGGCACAUAAGUGUAGUAUUAGCACAACCGACCCCAUGUGCUGGUAAGUGCCCGGCCUAACCACGGCGAGGUAGUGACGAGGCUAAACCGGACCUACCACAAUCAACCUGUACAAAUAUAUGUGCAAUAACAGAAAGAUAACAAAAAUUUUAAUAGAUAAUAGGGAGGGGACAUGCUGGGGGUGUAACAGUCAAUUAUAAAUCCAACAAACAAAAAAUGGAACUAAAUAUAUAACAUUAAGUAGAGAAAGCCAGUGAAUCAACAACUGCACGGCACCACCCUUCGUGCUUUUACUCUCAUUUCUCACCAAAACUGUCAAAUAUAAUGCACGAUGUCACACCUCUUUUUUCACUGUACACCCCCGCAAAAGGGAGCGUAAAUGAGUUUUUCCAAUUAAAGAACAAUCGGAACGAAAUUUGUUAUUAUCUAUUCAGAGUCGCCACUUGGGAGAUUAAUGGUGUCCCAAGUUACAGAUUGAAUCCCGAACCUAAGAAAAAGAUGACUCUGUUCACAGUCCGCGAACCAGAAAUGUGGAUAAGAAAUUUAGUUAAACCGGGAGAUGGUGUCAGGAAUUCUCGAGUUCCGUGCUUCUAGCACGGUCACUCAACUGUUGUAUUUAACUUUAACUGAUUUAUUACAUGAAGAACCUAUGUGCCAAUUUUUACUUUUUACUGCUUUUAUUUAAUAUGAUAUUUAUUUAAGGAAGUGAAUGUCGUUUAAAAUGUGUUUUCGGAUUGCGCCGCAUCAAAUGAACCUGCAAUCCUAGACACACUCUAUUUAACGUGUUAGGAUUUGGAUUUGGGCCGCAUAAAAUGUCCACCCGUAUUUAGGAAUAUAAUUUAUUAAAUUCGCGCCUAAUAGGGUCUAACGCGUUGUAAUCUUUUGGGAGGGCCAUGAAAUUCGCUAAACGGCCCUUCGAUUAUCUAAAUAUUUUCUACACCUUUAUUAAGGGCCCCGUAAUUUGCAUUUUUGUUGGCGAUGCUCGUCUCAUUUUAUUUUAAAAGGAUAAAUCUAAAAGGUAACUACAAUUUCUAUUUUUGAUUUUUGUCUCUAAUAACGAAAGAAUGAUCCUAAUUAAUUAUGUUUAAAAUCCGGGCAUUAAGUUCAGGUCGGGGUCCAAACAAAAGGACGAACCUUUUAGUUUAAAUCCCGCUACCUAACUCAAAACCUGAAUUCCUUUAAUCUAAUUAUGUAGUUCAGUUAAAGAAUAGCAACCUAAUUCUAUACCGUGCAAAAUCAUAUUCAGCUACAGCUAAUUCGAGAAGCUUGUCAUAAGCGCACACAGAUAUUGCACUAGUGCCUAGUCAGACGUCUGUUCCCAUUUAUGGAUAUGUUUCGAGUCAUUAUCAAAUAGGAAACAUUCAAAUUAUUAUCACAUACAGCGAAAAUCUGACACCAAAUCCACAUGAGUUAUUGAAUUAAUGAUAUAAUACCUUAUUUAAAAUUCUGAAGGAAUCCUACAAUUUUUAUCAAAGUAAGAGACAGACUUGGAAAUAUGAAUGAACCAAUAAAUAAAAUUACACCUUAAUCCUGAACCCGCAUAUACAACAUCAGUUUAAUGAAUUUGACCCAAACCCACUUUGAUCAACCCCCACAAUUCCAACAAGUCACUGUUUUUCAUUUCCAUUUUGAAAAUACCCGCAGAUCAUUGCAUCCUAUGUGAUAAAUUUGUCAUGGAUUUGAAUAUUCAUCGCUAAACUAAGAACAUAUUCAAGUAGUUCAUAUUUCUUCAAGUUAACGUGGAAUGCUACGCGACAUUGACCUCAAAUUGUAAUCACAAAACCUGCAGAAUAAAUGACUUAACAAAGCGAUAAGGCCCAGUAAUCCAAUUCAAUAACAACACUGUGCAAUUCUAUACGACCAAGUCUUCUACAACAUUUUAGCUACUCAAAGUGCAAUAACAAUUAAGCUACUAAUGACAAUCUGUGUCAUUCAGCCAAGCACAAAACUCCUGCAAUUUUGAAGUAACUUGACACAAACCAGCAGUCUAUCAGUGUACAAAAUAGUCCAACGAAAUCCAUCAUGUAUACACGACAAAUCGACACUCGGUUAUAUAAAACAGUGCAUCCAAUAUCUUUUAACUACUGAUAUGCAACAAUCCAGCAAGCAGAUUUCAUGACCAAAACAGCUGGGCAAUUCUAUUCCAUUUCAGAGCUUGGAAUUGUAGUAGAAUUUCGAGUGUAUACAUGGAGAUAUAAAAUGCAAUGAAGAAGAAGAGGAAGUCAGCAACAACAAGCAGAUAAUCAAAUGCAGCCCAGGAAUGAAAUCAACAGUCCAUAAAUGCUUUAAAACCACAUAGGUCCAAUAGAAUCAACCCAAACAGCACCCAAAAUAACCAGAAAUGAACCCACAAAUCAAUACACUCGUCAAAUAACCCACAACCAAUUCAAUCAAAUCACACCCAAACCAACGAGUGAAUCCACACCUAUUUCUGAUCCUAAAUGAACUGGGAGUGCUGUUUUUGGGGACGAAAUUUUCAGGGUUCACAAAACAGACCCAAAAUCAAGCCAUGAGAUAAAAUGUUGAAAGCUAUGACCUGACAGUGGACUGAACCUCAAUGAAAUAAUGAAAUUUUAUGGUUUUCCUAAUUUUGUAUAUAUACUUUAUUUGUGUUUUUGAGUAUUUGAAUGCAGAAAUUAAUAUGAAGCUAAAUGAAAAGGAAAAUUAGAUUUCUUAUGGAAUUGUUUUUGAGCUGAAAAAUUGAAUACCAUUUUUCAAGGCAUCUUGAAGCCCUUUUAUAGGCAACAUGAAUCAGAUUUUUUGUUUUCAUUUUAGUCCCCCCUUAUUUCAUUUUGAUCCUUAUUUUUCUAACUUGUUGCCCAAGUAAGUACCUCUUAUUUACUGAAAUGCACACUAAAGUACCAUUCUAGAAGGUCUGAUACCCGUUACAAUUCCUAAACUACCAUUCCCUACUUUGGAAAUUACUAUUCUUAAAAGAAACUACCAUUUUCCCAUGCCCAAACUACUCUUACCUUCGCCUGAAAUUACUAACCCCUUACCCUGAUUAACAGACUAAACUAACAAUCCCUAUUAACAAAUCAAAGCUAAAAACUAAUGCCACGAACUAAAGCCAUCUAUCAGAUUAAUUAGAAAGAAACAAAAAAAGUCCCAACGCAAUUAAACUUAUUCUACUUAGCACUGAUAAGGAAAAGACGAUUGCGAGCAAGGCGAAAACCCAAACAGAAAUUAACGUUAAGAACUUUGGUCAAAGAAUUCAUGCAUGCAUAGAAACAGAAAAAAAAGAAAUAAAGAAAUGAAACGAAAUCAACAGACAAGGAUGAUAAGAACUCACUGAUACACACAAAGACUCCAACCAACCUUUACAGACGAAUUCGAACUAAUCUAGUGGGAAUGGAAUGCCAUUGCUUGUGAGUUCUUCAUGAGGAAGGUUUACUGACCAUGUAGCAUCGACUUGGUAACUCCUUAUGAGAAUUCAGAUUUCCCGGCCAAUUUCAAUUCCAAUUUCGAUAGGCUUGAUGGUGAUUCAAAGAGAAUGGCUUGGGUAUUUGGGAUGAGGAAGUUCAGGCGAGUCUAUGGUGCAAAUUUGGUGGUAUUUGGCACACUUUGUGUUUUGACCGGAAAAUUUCAAUUGGACAUUCGAGGGCCUGGGAUAGGAUUCGAGAGAUGACAGUGUGAGGGUUGGAAAGAGGAGAAGAGGGGUAUCUCAAUGGUGUCCUUUUGAUGGUCAUUGGCGUAACUAGCGUUUCCCGCCGGCUAGGGAUUCCGGCGAGAAUUAGGGGUAUACGAGGAAGAAGACUAUAUGUCUUUAAUUCUGAUUAAC
rnacentral:lncRNA from 1 species